AAUUUCAAGACGAUCAAUCAAAUCCGCAUCACGAUUAGCAGUUUCAGGCAAAAUUAAAGUAACAACAGCUCCAGCAACCAUGCAUCCGAAGAAUAUCCACAAAACAUUGCCAAAACCAAUUACCUCGGUAAGUUUAUUGAAUAGAAGAGCAGAUAAAAUGGCACCGGCCUUACCACAUGCAGCGCAUAUGCCAUGUGAAAAAGCACGAACUCUGGAGGGAAACACUUCCGCAGGAAUGACAAAGCAGGUGGUGUUUGGACCAAAGUUGAAGAAAAAUUGGGCAAGAGCGACGCACGCAAAGCGACCACCAGUUGAAAUAGUUUCCCAUGUUCCAGCUAAAACGCCAAAUAAAAGACAGCAAAUAAGGAAACCUUGAAUUUGAAUCCAUUUUCGGCCCAUUACCUCAAUCAAUACGACACUCACCCAAUAUCCAGGAAUGUAGCCAGCAACUGCAAUAAUCAGAUUACCGAUUGCAUUCUUUUGAAGAAUAUGAUAUUCGUUGACACCUUUGUUAAACCCCAUUUCUUGAAGAAUAACAGACUGAUUCAAAUUUAUCCCGUAAAAAGCAAUAUCAAGCAAAAACCAUGAAAGCGCAGACCCAAUUAAAAGUUUAGCAUGUCUCCACUCUUUAAAGUAUGAAACAAACGAAGAACCGGUUUGAAUAUCAGACUCCUUACCUUCCGUAUUAGAUUCGACAGAGGUAGUAGAAGGAGCACGACUAGGAGCACUGCUGGGAGCAACUUCGUUAUUGGGACGGAUAUGAACGGAACCUGGGUUCUUUUUAUCGGACAAGGAAGCUGUAGAAGGGGAAGAAGUUGUAAACUCCGCAGUUAAGGACUCUUUUUUCUUGAAAUCAUGUAAUUCGAUUUGAGAGGCAGAAUCAAGAUCACCCUCCCCGGGAGAUUUCAUGUUUUUUGAAUUCUUAAAUUGUUCUGAUUCCUGCAUACGCAAGCGUGGAAUCAAAACGAUCACAGCUGGAAAGAGAGCAAUGCCAAACUGAAUGCGCCAAACGCCAUUCAGCUUCGUAUACUCACCGCGAUCAUUCAAAGGUUUUUCGAAACAAGCCAAAAUAAUCAAAGUAGCAACACAGCCAGCCAGAGUACCCCAUCCUUGGUUGGAGAAAAUCCA